AUGCCUAACACAUGUUAUUCCAACAGGCAGCACAGUAAAGAUUUCGGUCUUUAUGGGUGGCGAGUGGCGGACGGGUGAGUAACGCGUAGGAAUCUGUCCUGGAGCGUGGGAUAACCCGAGGAAACUCGGGCUAAUACCGCAUGAUAUCGAGAGAUCAAAAGCAGGGGACCGAAAGGCCUUGCGCUCUGGGGUGAGCCUACGUCGGAUUACCUAGUUGGUGGGGUAAAAGCCUACCAAGGCGACGAUCCGUAGCUGGUCUGAAAGGAUGACCAGCCACACUGGGACUGAGACACGGCCCCCACUCCUACGGGAGGCAGCAGUGGGGAAUCUUGGACAAUGGGGGCAACCCUGAUCCAACGAUGCCGCGUGGGUGAAGAAGGCCUUCGGGUUGUAAAGCACUUUAAGUGGGGAAAAAAGGCAGUUGUUGAAUACCCCACUGUUUUGACGGUAUCUGCAAAAAAAGCACCGGCUAACUCUUUGCCAGCAGCCGCGGGAAUACAAAGGGUGCCAGCGUUUAUCCAAAUGAUUGGGCCUAAACGGCCCGUAGGUGGGUAAUCAGGGUUUAUGUGGAAUUCCCCGGGUUUA
rnacentral:rRNA from 1 species